GUGGGCCCGGACGGCCAUCCCUGUGGGCCCCACCUGGUGAAGGAGAGAGGUGGGGUAGGAAGGAGAAGAGAGAGGUGUACACGUAGCAGCCGCACGACCCCCACUACUCGAUCGUCGUCGUCGUCUCGUUAUCCCGCCGCCUCUCUGUCCUCUCCUCUUCCACCUCCGUUCAGUUCACGUUGCUCGGCUCCAUCAUCGUCCUUCAGACCUUGCCUCAUAAUUACUUCCCCCACUCACUAUCCUCUAGUAAAGAGGAGCUGAAUCGCCUGCCGCCCCGGCGACCCGGCCGAGCUGCAAGAUUCACACCCCACACCACCUAUAUAUAGAGAGAGCACCUGGCUAGCUAGCUGCCUGUCACGUGGAGCGCCAAGGUCAGAGGACAGCGAGAGGCAGCAGCUAGCCCAGGAUCGAGCGAUCCAUUCGAUGGCCGUGGUGGCGCCGGAGGACGACGGCAGGGCGCCCGUGGCGGUGCGGGAGUUCGACGCCCACAGCGAGCGCGACCGCGCCGCCGUGGAGCGGCUGGAGCGCGCCUGCGAGGUGGGGCCCAGCGGCGGCAAGCUCUGCCUCUUCACCGACCUCCUCGGCGACCCGCUCUGCCGCGUCCGCCACUCGCCGGCCUACCUCAUGCUCGUCGCGGAGGCUGCGGGCGGGCCCCUCGGCGGCGCGGAGGUCGUCGGCGUCGUGCGCGGCUGCAUCAAGACCGUGGCGUGCGGCCGCGGCAGCAACCUCUUCUCCAAGGUCGCCUACCUCCUCGGCCUCCGCGUGUCCCCGGGCCACCGGCGGCGCGGCAUCGGCCGGAGCCUGGUCGAGCGCAUGGAGGAGUGGUUCCGGCAGAUGGGUGCCGAGUACGCCUACGUCGCCACCGACCGCGACAACGAGCCGUCGGUGCGCCUCUUCACCGCGCGCUGCGGCUACGCCAAGUUCCGCACCCCCUCCGUGCUCGUGCACCCCGUCUUCCGCCACGACCUCGCGCCGUCGCGCUCGCGCCGGAUCGCCGUCGUCGAGCUCGCGCCGCGCGACGCCGAGCGCCUCUACCGCGAGCGCCUCGGCGACGUCGAGUUCUUCCCGCGCGACAUUGACGCCGUGCUGUCCAACGCCCUCUCGCUCGGCACGUUCCUGGCCGUGCCCGACGCGGCAGCGCGGCAGUGGCGCGGCGUGGACGCGUUCCUGGCCGCGCCGCCGGAGUCGUGGGCGGUGGUCAGCGUGUGGAACUGCAAGGACGCGUUCCUCCUCGAGGUGCGCGGCGCGCCGAGGCUGUGGCGCGCCGCGGCGCACGCCACCCGCGCCGCCGACCGCGCGCUCUCGCCGUGGCUCCGCGUCCCGUCGGUGCCCAACCUCUUCGAGCCGUUCGGGAUGCACUUCCUCUACGGCCUCGGCAGCGCCGGCCCGGCCGCGCCGCGGAUGGCGCGCGCGCUGUGCCGGCACGCGCACAACCUGGCGCGCGCCGCCGGGGCGUGCGUCGUGGCCACCGAGGUCGGUGCGUGCGACCCGCUCCGCGCCGGGGUGCCGCACUGGCCGAGGCUCGGCGCCGAGGACCUCUGGUGCAUCAAGAGGCUCGCCGACGGGUACGGCGACGGCGCGCUCGGCGACUGGACCAAGGCGCCGCCGGGCGCCUCCAUCUUCGUCGACCCGAGGGAGUUCUAGUAGCGCGGUUCAGCUUAUUAGCAUAAUCAGUUUUGAGUUAGUGUCUACCGUCGAUCCUGCAUCCGACGGCCGAGAGCGCGUCGAUUCGGCUUGUUAAUCAAGUAUGAUUAGUGGAAUGGAAAGGGCCUUCUUGUUUUUGCUGAAUUUGUGCCCUGCCUCAAUUUGCAACCGUUGUCAAAAGAGUGCUCCUUGCUUU